rnacentral:rRNA from 1 species
GACGAACGCUGGCGGCGUGCUUAACACAUGCAAGUCGAACGGAAAGGCCCGGCUCUUGCGGGGCUCACGAUUGGCGAACGGGGGAGUAACACGCGAGUAACCUGUCCCUGUCUGUGGGGGAACUUUAGGAAACAGGGGCGCAUAUCGCGGAUGAGCUCUUGCAGCAUGGGGGGGGAUGGAGAGAUUCGGCGGUUGGGGCUGGACUCGCGGGUUAUCAGCUGGUUGGUCGGGUAGGUGCUUACCAAGGCUUUGACGGGUAGCCGGCCUGGGAGCGUGACCGGCCACCAUGGGCCUGCGAUACGGCCCAGACGCCUACGGUAGGCAGCAGUGGAGAGUAUUGCGCAAUAGGCGGAAGCCUGAUGCGGCGGCCCCGCGUGCGGAAUGACGUCCUUCGGGUUGUAAACAGCUUUCGCAUGUGCCGUACCCUUAGUGACGGUACUGGAUAAGAAAGCCCCGGCUAACUACGUG